GAUGAACGCUAGCUACAGGCUUAACACAUGCAAGUCGAGGGGAAACGAUGAGAGAGCUUGCUCUCUUAGUCGUCGACCGGCGCACGGGUGAGUAACGCGUAUCCAACCUGCCUCUGACCAAGGGAUAACCCGUCGAAAGUCGGACUAAUACCUUAUGCAGUCGUCGGAAGUCAUCUGAUGACGACGAAAGAUUUCAUCGGUGAGAGAUGGGGAUGCGUCUGAUUAGCUUGUUGGCGGGGUAACGGCCCACCAAGGCGACGAUCAGUAGGGGUUCUGAGAGGAAGGUCCCCCACAUUGGAACUGGGACACGGUCCAAACUCCUACGGGAGGCAGCAGUGAGGAAUAUUGGUCAAUGGGCGUAAGCCUGAACCAGCCAAGUAGCGUGCAGGAUGACGGCCCUAUGGGUUGUAAACUGCUUUUAUGCGGGGAUAAAGUGAGGGACGUGUCCUUCAUUGCAGGUACCGCAUGAAUAAGGACCGGCUAAUUCCGUG
rnacentral:rRNA from 1 species